rnacentral:lncRNA from 1 species
CUUUGAUGCACAUAAGACCUGCCAGGGUAAUUUCUUAGUUUUCAUAUGAUCGCGAUGAAGAGGCUAGGAGCACUAUCUCUUUUAUUAUCUACAAAAAGGUACAUAUUUCUUCCAUAUGUUUUUAUGUCGUUGUGUAGCUUUCAGUGUUUCCGGUUGAUUUUACUUUGUUAGAUGAUCAUAAGCGAUAUUACGGUUUGAUAGUGCCUUUUGGUUAGUGUUGUAGGUAGAUCACAAGUAUAUCUAUAUUGCUUCAUACAAUAAAAACAGGGCUUUCGUUUUCUGGAACCAACCAUUGUUGCAUGUAAUGAACAGAUCUCCACCAAUAUUAGUCUUGCCAUCCCAGCUUGCAAGGAAUCAGGGCACAAGUUUUUCAGGUUCUACUGCUUACAAGUUGCAAAUUAGGCCCUCUUUAGUUACAGUGAAAUAAAUAUCUUUCAUCAGCUUUAACAAACACAAAAAUGCACCUCUACACAGCCACAGGGAGUUUUCCACGCUCGAUAGGUUUGUGCAUAUUAAUAUCUAAAUGAUCGUGGCUUGGUUUUAAUUUAUAUUGGCCGAGACUGCUUUCGGUGUGCAUAAUCACUAAAAGAACUCUUUAUAAUCAUUGCACUAGAAAGUCAUCCAUGCAAUGCGGUGAUCUCAAGGUGUUGUUGCCAAAAAAACAUCAUUUUUGUUUAUUUUUCUAUUAUAGGUAGCUGCUUACAGUAUGGAAAAUUAGUGUUGAAAUAUAUGAUAAUAAAUAUUGUCUACUGUAGCAUGUUCAUGUAUCACUCCAGUCAAAUAGAUACAUGGUUCAUUCCAGUACUGUUUGUUUCAUAGUGGUUACAUUUAUUUAUAUUUUCUGUUGUAUUAAAUUGUUCGCUCAUCAUUAUGACAUGAUAUGAUACGUGAAGUUAGUGUGUUAAUAUGUUAUGUAAGAGGCAUGCUACUUGUUUACUACUCCCCCAUCCUAAAAUAAGUGACUCAACUUUGUACAAAUUUUAAAGUUAGUAUAAAGUUGAGCCACUUAUUUUGGGACGGAGGGAGCUUUUUUUUAGCUUGUAAUAUCACCUCUUCUAUCACAAAGUACAUAAUCUGCUUUGUUUUCUUCUGGCAAAAAUACAUACUCUCCUUUGUACAUAAAGGAUUACUGUAUGUUUCAUGGUGAAUCAGGUGGAAGAAGAUGGAGACGCAAACGGUUUUGACCAACAGAUUGCUAUUCAUUUCAAUCUUGCAAUUGAGGUUUGAGCCUCGAGAAUCAGUCUUGCAGAUCAAUUGCAAUGGUGUGAUCAAUAGAUUGUUUAACGAAAAACAACUGAAAAGAGCCAUAGGAGCAAAGAAGGCUAUUUAUUUCUUUUCUUAGUUUUGCUACUUUUAGACAAGCUGCUUUUGCGGCACUUGUAUGCACACAAAAGGUAUUCGUCUCGAACAUGAAUGUAUGCACAAAACAAGUAUCAUGC